rfam:Bacteriophage 44RR2.8t, complete genome.
GGAACGUUCGGGUAAUGGUAUCCCAAGCGGCUGUAACCCGCUCGCCUCUGGCAUUCUUGGUUCGAGUCCAAGGCGUUCCA